rnacentral:rRNA from 1 species
CCUACGGGAGGCAGCAGUGGGGGAUAUGCACAAUGGAGGAAACUCUGAUGCAGCAACGCCGCGUGAGGGAAGACGGUUUUCGGAUUGUAAACCUUUGUCCUUGGUGACGAUAAUGACGGUAGCCGAGGAGGAAGCUCCGGCUAACUACGUGCCAGCAGCCGCGGUAAUA